CCUACGGGAGGCAGCAGUGAGGAAUAUUGGUCAAUGGACGAGAGUCUGAACCAGCCAAGUAGCGUGAAGGAUGACUGCCCUAUGGGUUGUAAACUUCUUUUAUAUGGGAAUAAAACGUUCCACGUGUGGGAUUUUGUAUGUACCAUAUGAAUAAGGAUCGGCUAACUCCGUGCCAGCAGCCGCGGUAAUACGGAGGAUCCGAGCGUUAUCCGGUUUUAUUGGGUUUAAGGGGAGCGUAGGUGGAUUGUUAAGUCAGUUGUGAAAGUUUGCGGCUCAACCGUAAAAUUGCAGUUGAAACUGGCAGUCUUGAGUACAGUAGAGGUGGGCGGAAUUCGUGGUGUAGCGGUGAAAUGCUUAGAUAUCACGAAGAACUCCGAUUGCGAAGGCAGUUCACUGGACUGCAACUGACACUGAGGCUCGAAAGUGUGGGUAUCAAACAGGAUUAGAUACCCCAGUAGUC
rnacentral:rRNA from 1 species